CGGACAUUCAAAGAAAACAGCAUAAUAUCUCAGGGGGUACAAUAGGUGAUAAUUUUCAAAAUGCAAAAAAAUUCCAGGUUCCAAUGGUUUUUCGAAUCUUUUUUUAUAAAACAUUUGCGAAAAAUAUUGCAGAACAUAUAGCAGGUACCUUUUAAUCAUAUUGAAUUAUCAGGUCGUUUUUCUUCUGAAAUGCCUACAGGAAAUAUUCUACCUACUGUAAAGCAGGACAAAGAUCCCACUAGGGUAGAAAAUCACAGACCUAUUUCCUUGAUAAACGGGGUUGUAAAGAUAUUGAAGGAAAUGCUAAACAAUAUAAUUGAUUGAGAUCAACUAGGCAUUGUGCCAGGUAGAAUGGACUCAAAUAACACCAGAAGAAUUAUUGACAUAGUGGAUCAUGUGCAUAGAAAAAAACUUCCACUGGUACUUUAAGCAAUAGACGCGGAGAAGACAUUUGUCGGGGUCUGUUGGGAAUUCCUAAGUAAGUUAUUGAUC